rnacentral:RNase_MRP_RNA from 1 species
GCAAUAAGGUUACGCAGCGGCGGACAGAACUGACUCAGCUGAAGCAAUAAAAAGGAACAACAACAGACAAAAAGAACCUCCACUCUCUAAAUUAUGCUGCCCGUCGUCGAGGAGGAUGAUGUGUCUGCUGCUGUUGGGCAAGUCGUUGAUGGAGAAGUCGAGAUUGAGAAUAAGGGUGUCAGUGACUAUGACAAGGACAACAUUGAUUCUUUGAUCCGACUGCUCCGUGAGAAGGAUGCCCUGAUUGCCGA